ensembl:lncRNA
AACCCCACUCCUGGUAAACACAAGUUCACCCUCUCUACUAUGGCAGCAACAUUCAUUCAUGGCUAACUCCAUUAUUGUAACCUGAAACUUACACAAAAAAAAACACUGUAUUUAGGCUAAUCACAUAAAACUCACGUGCCAAUGUGCCAUCAUGUACUCAUUUACCAACACUCAGACAGGUGAAGCUCACUGAGGAAGCCUUCGGUUUGAACCUGAACAGAAAAAGCCAGUUGCAUUACAAAUUUCAAGCACUGAACCCCUCAGCCCCUGAUUGACUUUGUAGGAUUUUGACUAUGAAGCUGAUGUCAGGACAUCAGUGUUCGAUUGGGGCAGACAGGAGAUAGACACAGACAGGAGAUAGACACAGACAGGAGAUAGACACAGACGGGACAGGAGAUAGACACAGACAGGAGAUAGACACAGACAGGACAGGAGAUAGACACAGACAGGAGAUAGACACAGACAGGAGAUAGACACAGACAGGACAGGAGAUAGACACAGACAGGAGAUAGACACAGACAGGACAGGAGAUAGACACAGACAGGAGAUAGGCACAGACAGGAGAUAGAACCAGACAGGAGAUAGACACAGACAGGACAGGAGAUAGACACAGACAGGAGAUAGACACAGACAGGACAGGAGAUAGACACAGACAGG